rnacentral:rRNA from 1 species
UACGAAGUGGGCUAGCGUUGUUCGGAUUUACUGGGCGUAAAGCGCACGUAGGCGGAUCGUUAAGUCAGGGGUGAAAUCCUGGGGCUCAACCCCAGAACUGCCUUUGAUACUGGCGAUCUCGAGUCCGGAAGAGGUGAGUGGAACUCCUAGUGUAGAGGUGGAAUUCGUAGAUAUUAGGAAGAACACCAGUGGCGAAGGCGGCUCACUGGUCCGGUACUGACGCUGAGGUGCGAAAGCGUGGGGAGCGAACAGG